CUGGGCUUGACAUGCUUGUCGUAUCCUCCCGAAAAGGAGGAGUCGGUUCGGCCGGACAAUGCACAGGUGCUGCAUGGCCGUCGUCAGCUCGUGUCGUGAGAUGUUUGGUUAAGUCCAGCAACGAGCGCAACCCCUGUGAACUGUUGCCAGCGAGUAAAGUCGGGGACUCUGUUCAGACUGCCCAGAUCAACUGGGAGGAAGGUGGGGACGACGUCAGGUCAGUAUGGCCCUUACGCCCAGGGCUGCACACGUACUACAAUGCCCAGCACAAUGAGAACCGAUACCGCGAGGUGGAGGAAAUCUGUAAAACUGGGCCCAGUUCGGAUUGGAGGCUGCAACUCGCCUCCAUGAAGUCGGAAUCGCUAGUAAUGCCGUAUCAGCUACGACGGCGUGAAUACGUUCCC
rnacentral:rRNA from 1 species